GAAUAUUGGACAAUGGGCGCAAGCCUGAUCCAGCCAUGCCGCGUGGGUGAUGAAGGCCCUAGGGUUGUAAAGCCCUUUCGGCGGGGAAGAUAAUGACGGUACCCGCAGAAGAAGCCCCGGCUAACUUCGUGCCAGCAGCCGCGGUAAUACGAAGGGGGCUAGCGUUGCUCGGAAUCACUGGGCGUAAAGCGCACGUAGGCGGAUCUUUAAGUCAGGGGUGAAAUCCCGGAGCUCAACUCCGGAACUGCCUUUGAUACUGGGGAUCUUGAGUCCGGGAGAGGUGAGUGGAACUCCGAGUGUAGAGGUGAAAUUCGUAGAUAUUCGGAAGAACACCAGUGGCGAAGGCGGCUCACUGGCCCGGUACUGACGCUGAGGUGCGAAAGCGUGGGGAGCAAACAG
rnacentral:rRNA from 1 species